UACGUAGGGUGCGAGCGUUGUCCGGAAUUACUGGGCGUAAAGGGCUCGUAGGCGGUUUGUCGCGUCGGGCGUGAAAACUCAGGGCUUAACCCUGAGCCUGCUUCCGAUACGGGCAGACUAGAGGUAUGCAGGGGAGAACGGAAUUCCUGGUGUAGCGGUGAAAUGCGCAGAUAUCAGGAGGAACACCGGUGGCGAAGGCGGUUCUCUGGGCAUUACCUGACGCUGAGGAGCGAAAGUGUGGGGAGCGAACAGG
rnacentral:rRNA from 1 species